rnacentral:rRNA from 1 species
CCCUUAGAGUUUGAUCCUGGCUCAGAGUGAACGCUGGCGGCAGGCCUAACACAUGCAAGUCGAACGGCAGCGCAGCCCCGCAAGGGGUGGGCGGCGAGUGGCGGACGGGUGAGGAAUACAUCGAAAUCUACCUUGUCGUGGGGGAUAACGUAGGGAAACUUACGCUAAUACCGCAUACGACCUACGGGUGAAAGCGGCGGACCGCAAGGCGUCGCGCGAUUGGAUGAGUCGAUGUCCGAUUAGCUAGUUGGCGGGGUAAAGGCCCACCAAGGCGACGAUCGGUAGCUGGUCUGAGAGGAUGAUCAGCCACACUGGAACUGAGACACGGUCCAGACUCCUACGGGAGGCAGCAGUGGGGAAUAUUGGACAAUGGGCGCAAGCCUGAUCCAGCCAUGCCGCGUGUGUGAAGAAGGCCUUCGGGUUGUAAAGCACUUUUGUUGGGGAAGAAAAGCACUCAAUUAAUACCUGGGUGUUCUGACGGUACCCAAAGAAUAAGCACCGGCUAACCUCGUGCCAGCAGCCGCGGUAAUACGAAGGGUGCAAGCGUUACUCGGAAUUACUGGGCGUAAAGCGUGCGUAGGUGGUGAGUUAAGUCUGUCGUGAAAGCCCCGGGCUCAACCUGGGAAUGGCGAUGGAUACUGGCUCGCUAGAGUGCGGUAGAGGAGAGUGGAAUUCCCGGUGUAGCAGUGAAAUGCGUAGAGAUCGGGAGGAACAUCAGUUGCGAAGCGCUCUCUGGACCGGCACUGACACUGAGCACGAAAGCGUGGGGAGCAA